CAUUCUAGUCUUCCUUGCCUUGGAAUUGGAUAGGAAGGCUCUGUGGAUGGAGUCUUUCCUCAAAGGAACCAGAGCUGCACCCCUGAAGUACUCUGGCCUUAAGGACUGACAGGGCUACCCCUGCUCUGGCCUCCCUGGACAGAAUGCAGGGCACAUGUGCAUGUUAACCUUUGCAUUCAUUAGCAGCAGCUGCAGCUAGAGAUCAAUGAUAAGAAGAAAUUGUGUACAUUCGACCGCAUGGGCCUGCCCUCCCUACGAAUCAUGUGACUUCCUAUUAACGGCGUACAGUUUAUAUCUCCGAUGGGACUUCCUGCAAGGAUGGAAAUAUUCCACAUCUGUGCUAACACGGACACAAGUGGCUACUGAGCAAUUGAAAGGUGGCUGUUUCAACCGAGGAAUUCGAUUUUAGCACAUGACACAAACACCUAUUUGAAAAUUCGCCAGCACCAAGGUAUUAGCAUCUUCUACACGUGUUCUCAUGGAGCGGUGGGAUCCGUCCACUUUAUAGACACUAACACAGAGCUGAGGGGUGUGCAGUUUGAAGUACCAGAGACAUGAAGGACCAACAGACUCCAGCGAGUAUUUCCUUGCUCUUUCCUUAGGUAAAGGCUUUAGUUCAUGGCAGUCGUUGAGAUUAUAGUGAAGAGCUGGCAGGAAGUAGAGUAAAAACUCG